rnacentral:siRNA from 1 species
AUGAUCCGAUUCAAUCUAAACCGU